AAGUGAUGGGGUAUAACUUGUGAUGACAUUAUGUGUAAUUGUACUUUGCACCUUACUAUCUGAUACUGUGUUUGACUUCCUGCAUUUCUGGCUUUGGUGAAACAAACUGCCUUGUGGCAAGCGGCCUCAUGGAGAAGUCUAAAGAGCAGGACUUUUCUCAUAGCUAGCAAGAAACUAAACUCUAAUGAUGGUCAUGUAAACUUGGAAGGAGACGUUCCCUCAGUCAAGCCCUGAGGUGCGACUGCUUCCCCAGCAGCCAUAGGAGAAGCCCUGAUCAGUGUCCCCAGCUGGGCCACCCCUGGAUGCUAACCCACAGAAAUUGACAGAUAAUAAAUGCAUGUGUGUCUGUGUGUCUAUAAGCCACCAAGUUUGUGGUACUGUAGCACAUAUCAACAGAUAACUAACAUGAUCCUCCUUUGUGCCAUUUCAAAAGUCACUGGGAAUGUCCUCUUUUUUAUAUUGAUAAGUUGAAGUUCUUAGGUUUUGUAAAAUCUCCCAAAAAUCUAAGGAAAGAAUUCUGUGAGAAAUAGUAUGGAGUUCUUUAGAUGAUAAUUAAAUUUCUUAACAUAUAAUAUAAAACUUUCAUAAGUUGAACUUCAGGAAAUAAUUGCCCAUAACUACAUAAAAUUAUAUAAACAAAGAUAUUUUGAACAUUUUUCCCCAAAAUAUCUUACUAAUAUCUAAAAAGCAUUAGGCAAAAAGCUAUAUACAAAUGAAGACACUGAUUACCAUUUUAAUUCAUGUGGCUUAUCCACCCGAGUAUAAAUUCUAGAUCCAUCAUGUACCACUCAUAUGACCUUUGAUAACUUACUUUCCUCUUGGAGGGUACAAUAAUUAAGUUUAGCUACUUUAUUGUAUUAUGGUGAAGGA
rnacentral:lncRNA from 1 species